GUGCUUAACACAUGCAAGUCGAACGGAAAGGCCCCUUCGGGGGUACUCGAGUGGCGAACGGGUGAGUAACACGUGGGUGAUCUGCCCUGCACUUCGGGAUAAGCCUGGGAAACUGGGUCUAAUACCGGAUAGGACCACGGGAUGCAUGUCCUGUGGUGGAAAGCUUUUGCGGUGUGGGAUGGGCCCGCGGCCUAUCAGCUUGUUGGUGGGGUGACGGCCUACCAAGGCGACGACGGGUAGCCGGCCUGAGAGGGUGUCCGGCCACACUGGGACUGAGAUACGGCCCAGACUCCUACGGGAGGCAGCAGUGGGGAAUAUUGCACAAUGGGCGCAAGCCUGAUGCAGCGACGCCGCGUGGGGGAUGACGGCCUUCGGGUUGUAAACCUCUUUCACCAUCGACGAAGGUCCGGGUUUUCUCGGAUUGACGGUAGGUGGAGAAGAAGCACCGGCCAACUACGUGCCAGCAGCCGCGGUAAUACGUAGGGUGCGAGCGUUGUCCGGAAUUACUGGGCGUAAAGAGCUCGUAGGUGGUUUGUCGCGUUGUUCGUGAAAUC
rnacentral:rRNA from 1 species